UAUUCUGCCCCAUGGGGAAGGAUGAGAAGCUUCGACUAAGGUUCGACUCGAGCGAAGCGAGAGAACGUUGCCGCAGGCAACGGCCCGA
rnacentral:sRNA from 1 species